rnacentral:lncRNA from 1 species
GAACUUCAAUCUCUCGACCCACUCCACUCCAGCUCUGUUGAUGUGGAAGGGGGCGUGCUCUUCUUUCUUUUUCCUACAGUUCAAAAUUAGCUCUUUGGUCUUACUGAUUGUUACGAAUCCCUUUUGGCCCAACAGUCUAGGGGGGAUGGUAAUGAGACCCGUAACAUAACUCAUGCAAAUUAUUAUUGUGACAAAGUAAAAGUGUGAACGAAAUAACCACGACAAAAGAAAUCUACCGUCAAACUCCAGGUUUAUUUAUAAACACACGGUAAUGGGAGGAGCAGGAAAAGGGGCUGAGCUGGACCCAAGGAAAGAAACAAUAAAUAUACAAAAACACCCCUAAGCUAGACUAGCCUACUUUAACAACAGCUAACUAACUAACCAAAAAUACAGUGGGUGGUCCGCCCAGUUCUAACUAGUGUAUUUAACAAAGUUCACCUACGGGUAGUGUAUGCCCAUGGGCGACUUGCCUUGGUUUCCCCCUUUUCCCACCAGCAACAAACAAACACCAUAACCAAAACAAUACUCACAGGUCAUGACAAAGUGAUUUGGAGGUGCUCAAACAAAAGAGAGGUUAAGACACAAAGCGAGAGUGAAACACAGAGAGACCUACAGACAUGGCAUUUACAGAGAGAUAUUGAGCUAGCUCUAGAGCAAACAAAUGAUGGGGUUUUUAAACCAUGGGGAAGGAACUGUGAUAGGGUAGGAAAUAGAAGGAGGUGUGUCUUCUGAUUGAUGAUUGAUUGUUGACUGAUUGGGGAGUGAUGAUUCUCACCUGUGAGGGGAGAAGGAGAGAAAAGAAACACACACAAGAUACACACACACACACAGGAUAACUGUAUCCGUAACACUGAUAUUGAGCGAGAGGCUGUUGUCCUGGCACCACACUGACAAGUUGAAUCGAUUCAUCAGAAAAUGGCAGAGAUGGCCACAUGCGUGCGCUCUGGAGACUGUGAGGCAAGGCUGUGCUGCGUCCGCUAUUUAACAGGGAAACGACGCAUCCCAAAGGAGGGAGAGGCCUGCGUACUGCGAGGAGGACGCUCUAAACUGCGUAGAAAUCUUGAGUACUGUGACUGUGCACAUGGGCUAACCUGUUGUGCCCAGGCUGAACACCCCAAGAACCAAGGAGUUUGAGGGGUAUUCCCUUUUGAGGACACAAGCUCAAGUAAACAGUAUAUGAUAAAAUAUGAUAAAGAUGAUAUGACAUAUUUUCUAUUCAACAAAAAGGCUGGAAAGGAUUUAUAUGCUUUCUACAUAUAGUAUAAUCAAAUUAUAAAACCACAUACUAUAAGAUUUCACCUUCUUUAUAACUGUAAAUUACAUAUUUGUAUGUUUAGUGUUAAAGAAAAUGUGCAUAUUUUCUAAAGGUCUCACUUGAUCAAAAUAUCUUCCCCCACCACUUUAAACAUCACAAAAAGCUGUGGCUUGGUUUCCUGAACUCGUUAGGAACUCACCUUUCAUCUCAUAUUAAUAAUGAAGUUUUUUUUGUAAAAUUCUGAAAUCCACAGCACUCUCCCCUCUAAAAGUAACAUGUGAAUCUAAG